rnacentral:misc_RNA from 1 species
GAUGAAGAACGUAGCGAAAUGCGAUAAGUAAUGUGAAUUGCAGAAUUCAGUGAAUCAUCGAAUCUUUGAACGCACAUUGCGCCCGCCAGUAUUCUGGCGGGCAUGCCUGUUCGAGCGUCAUUUCAACCCUCAAGCCCCCGGGCUUGGUGUUGGGGAUCGGCGUGCCCUCGCGGCGCGCCGUCCCCUAAAUCUAGUGGCGGUCUCGCUGUAGCUUCCUCUGCGUAGUAGCAACACUCGCACUGGAUCGCAGCGCGGCCACGCCGUUAAACCCCCCACUUCUGAAAGUUUCACCUCGGAUCAGGUAGGAAUACCCGCUGAACUUAAGCAUAUCAAUAAGCGGAGGA